UAUAAAUUCCCUGUUCUCUCUUUACCAUGUCAUUCAUGGAGAUGUUUUAAGGUCAUUUUCAACCAUUUGGCAAAAAUAGAAGGUAAGUAACUGCUUUAAAAUAAGGUCAACUAAGCCCACAACUGGCUAUGAUUAUCAGUCUUCCUCAGAGUUUUCAGACUAAAAGUUAAAUAUUCAAAAAGAAACUAACAUAGCAAUUUAUGUAUAGCACAGUGCAUUCGUAAAAAUCUGUUGUUCACACAAAAAGUCUAGAUGUCUUUGAUUUUCACCACCAACAUUAUGUUUUCUGAGGCUCCAAAUAUGAAAAUGAAAACACUCACGUUAGGUCACCUAAAAGUCACUGGAAAGAAAUCCCCCAAAUAAGGAGCAUCUUGCAAAACAGAAAGAGGAGAAGCCCCAGACUACAAAGUUUAAUAAAAUUAAACUUAGCAAAAGUAUGAUUUUAAUGUUAUCUUCAAAUAAAAUCCAUCAAAUAUUGAAUCAAGAAUUGGGGAGUGUCAAAGGGUCUAGUUGGAGGAAUUCAACAAGUAUUUGUUCAAUAAAUGAAUAAAUUACAUUAAUUUUCAAAAUAUUCCAUAAAUAAUAGUACUAAGGUGAGGGCCAAAUGCAGAUAAAUAACCUUCUGUACCCUUCCUGUGAAAUUUCACCAGCCGUCUUAUUCCUUUACAUUCACAGUCUUUCUCUCCUCUUCCCAUCCCCAAAUAUUUAGUAGUGUGUGAUUUUGCAGACCCUCUGCAAAUCCAAAAACUGCAACGGUUAUUAUCCACUGGCUUUGAAACAGGUUGCAACCUGUAGAGGGUAGAUUCUCCAACACUGUUUUUUAAAUUGUUCUAAUUUAACCUUUGCUAAUCUCUCCAUCCUUCACCCUCAGAUCAUGACAAUCAUUCUGCACAUAUGGGACUCAACAUGUUUGUUAAUUUCAAUUGCUAUUCAGCCCCUCAGCUGAGUGCAUUUGUGCAGUGAACAAACCACACAACAGUGUGCAAUGGUGUUGCUCAUUCUCCUCUUACUCCUGCUCUAUUUUUCUUUACAAUGCUGUUACUAUGUAACAUACUAAAUUCUAGCUUAUUCAUUUCUUAUCUGUUUCUCCCACCCAAAUAGCAGCUUCAAGAGGGAAUGGACUGUGACUCUUUUGUUCCUUAUUAUAUCCCUAUGCUGCAGAAUAGUCUCUAGGAUGUGGUAAGUGUUUAACAAAUAUUGGUUGAAUAAGUGAACUAAUUAAAUUAUUCUUUUAAAUACUCCAUAAAUAAUAAUGUUGUGGUGAGGAGGGAAUAUAGACAGUCUUCUCUAUUACCUUUUGAAACUGUCAACCAUUUUUUUCCUUUCUGUCUGCCAUUCACUCUCUUUCUCUCCUCCUCCCCAUAUAGCAACAAUGUGAUAUUGCAAAUCUGAAAACUGCAAUGGUUUUUAUCCAUUGGCUUUGAAACAGGUUGCAACUUGUAGAAAGCAACUUAUCUUUAUCUGUAUUAAAACCAGUUUACUCUGCCUUUCAAAAGUGGCUUGCAAAUGUCUCUCUUGUGCUGGGGCUGUGGAGCCAUAGGCUGAAUGGG
rnacentral:lncRNA from 1 species